ACCCCCGAGGAGAGCGCGCGCGAAGUACUCGCGUGACGCGCGCUGUGGCCGGUUCCUAUAAUCAAGGAUAGAGCGGAUCUGUACGAGUUGGGUGUCCCGUACUGAGAACCACUUUGGAAAAGUUAGAAACCACUCCCGGAUAAUAUUCCGGCCACCAGGGUAAGCGUCGACCGGAUUCGGAAUGUUUUUGCUGAGACCUUCAGUAGCAAUGCACUCAAAACGCCUUGCAAUUCCAGCG